AUUAUUCUUUUGUGUGGUCAUUUGCAUCUGUAUACAUAGGAAUUAUUCUUUUGUGUGGUCAUUUGCAUCUGUAUACAUAGGAAUUAUUCUUUUGUAGGUCAGUAGGCGUCUGUGUACAUAGGAAUUAUUCUUUUGUAGGUCAGUAGGCGUCUGUGUACAUAGGAAUUAUUCUUUUGUAGGUCAGUAGGCGUCUGUGUACAUAGGAAUUAUUCUUUUGUGUGGUCAAUAGACAUCUGUACACAUAGGAAUUAUUCUUUUGUGUGGUCAGUAGACAUCUGUACACAUAGGAAUUAUUCUUUUGUGUGGUCAGUAGACAUCUGUACACAUAGGAAUUAUUCUUUUGUAGGUCAGUAGGCGUCUGUACACAUAGGAAUUAUUCUUUUGUAGGUCAGUAGACAUCUGUUUACAUAGGAAUUAUUCUUUUGUAGGUCAGUAGACAUCUGUACACAUAGGAAUUAUUCUUUUGUAGGUCAGUAGACAUCUGUACACAUAGGAAUUAUUCUUUUGUAGGUCAGUAGGCGUCUGUGUACAUUAGAAUUAUUCUUUUGUGUGGUCAUUCACAUCUGUACACAUAGGAAUUAUUCUUUUGUGUGGUCAUUCACAUCUGUACACAUAGGAAUUAUUCUUUUGUGUGGUCAGUAGACAUCUGUGUACAUAGGAAUUAUUCUUUUGUGUGGUCAUUUGCAUCUGUGUACAUAGGAAUUAUUCUUUUGUGUGGUCAUUUGCAUCUGUAUACAUAGGAAUUAUUCUUUUGUGUGGUCAGUAGACAUCUGUACACAUAGGAAUUAUUCUUUUGUGUGGUCAGUAGACAUCUGUGUACAUAGGAAUUAUUCUUUUGUGUGGUCAGUAGACAUCUGUAGACAUAGGAAUUAUUCUUUUGUGUGGUCAGUAGACAUCUGUGUACAUAGGAAUUAUUCUUUUGUGUGGUCAGUAGACAUCUGUGUACAUAGGAAUUAUUCUUUUGUGUGGUCAUUUGCAUCUGUACACAUAGGAAUUAUUCUUUUGUGUGAUCAGUAGACAUCUGUACACAUAGGAAUUAUUCUUUUGUGUGAUCAGUAGACAUCUGUAGACAUCUGUACACAUAGGAAUUAUUCUUUUGUAGGUCAGUAAGCGUCUGUACACAUAGGAAUUAUUCUUUUGUGUGGUCAUUCACAUCUGUACACAUAGGAAUUAUUCUUUUGUAGGUCAGUAGACAUCUGUGUACAUAGGAAUUAUUCUUUUGUGUGGUCAUUUGCAUCUGUGUACAUAGGAAUUAUUCUUUUGUGUGGUCAUUUGCAUCUGUAUACAUAGGAAUUAUUCUUUUGUGUGGUCAUUUGCAUCUGUAUACAUAGGAAUUAUUCUUUUGUAGGUCAGUAGACAUCUGUGUACAUAGGAAUUAUUCUUUUGUAGGUCAGUAGACAUCUGUGUACAUAGGAAUUAUUCUUUUGUAGGUCAGUAGGCGUCUGUGUACAUAGGAAUUAUUCUUUUGUAGGUCAGUAGGCGUCUGUACACAUAGGAAUUAUUCUUUUGUGUGGUCAGUAGACAUCUGUAGACAUAGGAAUUAUUCUUUUGUAGGUCAGUAGGCGUCUGUACACAUAGGAAUUAUUCUUUUGUGUGGUCAUUUGCAUCUGUACACAUAGGAAUUAUUCUUUUGUGUGGUCAUUUGCAUCUCUAUACAUAGGAAUUAUUCUUUUGUAGGUCAGUAGACAUCUGUAUACAUAAGAAUUAUUCUUUUGUUUGGUCAGUAGACAUCUGUAUACAUAAGAAUUAUUCUUUUGUUUGGUCAGUAGACAUCUGUACACAGGAAUUAUUCUUUUGUAGGUCAGUAGACAUCUGUGUACAUAGGAAUUAUUCUUUUGUGUGGUCAUUUGCAUCUGUGUACAUAGGAAUUAUUCUUUUGUGUGGUCAUUUGCAUCUGUAUACAUAGGAAUUAUUCUUUUGUGUGGUCAUUUGCAUCUGUAUACAUAGGAAUUAUUCUUUUGUAGGUCAGUAGACAUCUGUGUACAUAGGAAUUAUUCUUUUGUAGGUCAGUAGACAUCUGUGUACAUAGGAAUUAUUCUUUUGUAGGUCAGUAGGCGUCUGUGUACAUAGGAAUUAUUCUUUUGUAGGUCAGUAGGCGUCUGUACACAUAGGAAUUAUUCUUUUGUGUGGUCAGUAGACAUCUGUAGACAUAGGAAUUAUUCUUUUGUAGGUCAGUAGGCGUCUGUACACAUAGGAAUUAUUCUUUUGUGUGGUCAGUAGACAUCUGUACACAUAGGAAUUAUUCUUUUGUAGGUCAGUAGACAUCUGUUUACAUAGGAAUUAUUCUUUUGUAGGUCACUAGGCAUCUGUACACAUAGGAAUUAUUCUUUUGUAUGGUCAGUAGGCAUCUGUACACAUAUUGAUAGUUUCAAUAAAAUCCUGCGUUUCUAUUUGGUACCUAACGAUUGAUAUAUACAGACUAACAUUUUGCCAUGGAAACACAACAUCUGUAGUAUUUCCCUGAUUAUAACAUGUCUAGUCUUGGUGCAGUAAACAUAUUUUUAUUGGAAAAUCCUGCAGGUGUGAGGAACAACCAAUGAUUUUUUGUCCUUCAUCACAAUUUCAUUUUAACAUUAAUAGUACAAGACUGUAUUCCUUUAAAAAUAGGUAAAAGUGUUGAUUUCAUUCCAAAAUCACUCUCUCUCUCUCUCUGCGCUGGAAACAGAAGUACACGUAAAAGCAUUAUAAAACUUAACGAACAUAUUUUUAGUUCAUUUCCAUCAUUCUUUUUACUGGAUAAUUAGUCUAAACUGAGCCUUCACAGAAAAUCUAAAAGCAUCAAUGAGUGACACCUACAGACUUCUGCGUCAACAUCAAUAAUUGCAAAAAUGAGCAAAGAAAGCUUAGGUUGUUGAAAGUAGUCAAAAUAGUUUAUGGUUUUACUCGUCAGUGAUACCUGUACGUCUGUUUGUUGUUGUUUACAUCUGUGCUGGAAAUUUGAGGAGCAAGAUAAUAAUGUGUGAACGCUAAUGACAUUUUGUAUAAAAAUUAUUUUGGAUAUAGCUGGAGAGUAUGAAGCAAGAAAGAUAACUCAAGCAUGUAUUUUUCAACCCUGUUUAUUCUUUUUUAUCUUGUCAAAUUUGAAAGAAACUGUGUGAUGAAUUAAACAUUUAAAACUGAUAUCACGUGCAAUCUUCCUAAAUUCAAAAUAUGUACCGUGUUGUACAUUGUUUACUUGUAAUUCUCCUAUCAUUUUAUCAAACCUGGUGCUACCCACUUUUUCGUUUAAAAUUUGUUUAAAUUAUUAUGUUAUUUUGAAAUAAAUAUUCAGUGUCUUUGUAUGGAAACAAAGUCACAUGCUUCUGUUUUAGAAUUGAAUAACAAUACCAAACUUGGUUUUUUUUUCUUGUGGGAGGGAUUUGAAUUUGUAACCAAUGCAGAGAAUAUUAAUGUUGAUCGUCUGACAGCGCCUACAUUAUUACUCAGUUCUGCUUGUUGUACCUUUUUUGUGAAGUUACCUCUAAAAUUAGUUAUAGUAUAUAAUUAUCAUAUCUAUUUAUAUAAUCAAAUCAGUAUUCAAAAACUCACUCAUUACCAAAAAAAAAAAAUAAAUAAUUAGUUACAUGGAGAACAAUAAUAAGUUUGUCACAAAUGUAGUACUGAACCAGAUAGUGGAUGUUAAAACUUAUAUAUAGCUCUCUUGACUAGCUGGUUUUGGUAUCCAUGACAUGAUCUGCAUAUAUUUCAUUAAUUUUUUUUUUAUUCCCCCUUUAAAUGAUUGAGGGACGAAGGGGGAGGAGUGACAAUAUUUAGUCAUGUAGUAAGUUUUUUAAAAGUCCAAUUAGCAUUGACUAAUAUUUCUCUGAUUAGUGUUUACUGUAACUUUUUAAUAAUAUCCGUAGAAACUAUGUAAAGGGUAUUAUUUUUGCAGAGAUGAUGUCUGUAGGAUGUGUUGAAUGGUGAUUCACAAAGAAAUAUGCUACACCAUUUGUUAUGUAAAAAAGUAUGUAUAUUGUAAAAUUUACACACAUACUGAUUUUAAGUUUCCAGUUGUAUUCCUUAUACGGUAAUUGGAAUUAAAGCAAGUAAUGAAAUAUUGAAGUAAUGUGGAGUGUUUGUAAAGAAUUGAAUUAGUUUAAUAUGUUAAUUUGGCAUCAUUAUUUAUUGUAAAAAUUCUGCAUGGAAAAGGAUUAAUUUGUUGAAAUAUUUGGUGUGUUGAUAUAGUCCUUCUCUUACAAACACUCCCAAACCAACUACCCAUUUACUUUAUAAGUAAACAAUAUUUGUUGUCACAAAUUUCUUAGCCUUUCCUCAUUCCCAAGGUUUGACCUUUGGGCAGUUGGAUGGUCUUAAAGUUUGACCUUUCAUCAGUGGGAUGUUCCUAAAAGUUCAACCUUUCAUCAGAUUGGAUGUUCCUAAAAGUUUAACCUUUGAUCAGUGGGAUGUUCCUAAAAGUUCGACCUUUGGUCAAUGGGAUGUUCCUAAGGUUUGACCUUUGGUCAUUGAGAUGUUCCUAAGGUUUGACCUUUGGUCAGUGGGAUGUUCCUAAGGUUUGACCUUUGGUCAGUGGGAUGUUCCUAAGGUUUGACCUUUGGUCAGUGGGAUGUUCCUAAGGUUUGACCUUUGGUCAGUGGGAUGUUUCUAUGGGUAUCACGGGAUCUCCAUUGGUGAUUUUUUUUCUUUUUUUUCCAAACGUCGUUGUAUUUGUUUAUUCCCUAUCCUUUAUUCCUACUUAUUGUUAAAUACUGUGUGUUUUUGUGCUCCUUGAACAUUUUUUGGGGAGCAUAUCGUCGCCGCCAUGUUUUUUUAUUGAUGUGCAUGUUAAGUGUAUAAGUAAAGAACAAUCUUGACAGUUGAAGAGAUAUAAAUCUGUGGAUGUGAUCAGUUGAUGAAUGUCAGCAUUACAUUAAUGGAGUAUAUGACAUAUGUCUACAUAGUAAGUAAGAAUUGUGUGUACCUUGAUGUGGAUGUCUGUAGAUCUGUCCGAGAUAAAUAUAACAACAUCAGAUGUCAUCGCUAAUGUUCGCAAGUGAUUGUCAAGGGUCCUUUAUCAUGGAUUUGUUGUGUUAUGACAAACUUGUUCAUCCAAACACUUUAUUAAAAAAAAAAAAAAAAAAUGAAAAAUGAAAAAGUUUUGUAACAUUGGGGUCAUUUAUAUAAAUUUCAUAUAUUUCCUGUGUUAAAAAAUUGGUACCUGAAUUUUUUUUUUUUUUUUUUAAUUCGUUGAUUGUGAUUGAUCAUUUGUAUAUAUAUAUAUACACACAUUAAUUUUGCUUUUGGACUUUUUGAAUAUGUAAAAUAAUGCUAUUAUUAUGUUGAA